UCAAAUCAGAAGCAUAUGCUGAUGCGGUCAAGUUUUAUACAGGAGCAAUGCCAAUUUUUAAGAUAUAUGGAGACUCCUCAUUCCAGGAUUGUAAGCGAGUAUCUGAAGAAGCAGUGACCAUAAUUAUCAAGAAUUUGCAGGUUUAUCCUUUUUUUUCUUUCUCUUUCUUUCCAUUUUAUACUACGGUGAGGCUGGUUUUUCUCUCCACCCAUACCUAACCAGAAACAAGUAGAUGUCUUAUCCUCACUUCCUUGCAAUGUUUCUCACUCGGGGUAAACAUAUAAUCUAGAACUCUAUUUGCUUUAAUACAUGGAUUGGCGUUAAAUGCAGUUUUUGGUGGAAGUAUUACCAUCAAUGUUGGUAAAUGAUUAUGCAGUCUGUUAGGUAUUGUGCAUAUAUCUCUGACACAGGAUUAGUUUUAAGAUGUAACAUUGAGGUACUGCCCUUAAUUCUUUUGUGUGGGUAACAUUCCCUUUGGAUGAAUACAACGUUUCAGUAAUAUGAUGCAUAUGUCGUCCUACAAUGAGCUCUUGGGCUUGCUGUGAGGCAUGUGUCUGAAGUAAACGUUAUGAAUCUAGGCAUGAAAUUUUUCACUAGCUAUCAAAGGUAUUGCUUAUUAUCCAUUUAAUGUUUACCCGUGUCGUAUUACAGUACUUUCUUAAGCAUACUUUGACAGAAGAAUGGACAUUCACCAUCUGAGAUGUUUUUAAAGUUAAAUGUUUAAUAUCACAAUUUUAUGCUGAAUAACUUACUGACUGCAACUGGGUGUGUGUACUGUGGGGAUACUUAUGAUUUUCCAAAUUAUUCUUUUUAGGGAAAGCUGUUCUCAGAUUCCGAAUCUGUACAAGCAAGAGCUGAGGCUGCUGUUCUUCUUAAGUAAUUGGAUUUUCCAGUUUGUACUGCACUUUCUAUUUAAGUUUGCCAUUCAGAUUACAUGGUACCGUGUUAACACAUCAUGGCUUUAACUAAAGAAAAUGUAUUCAAUCUUCUAUUGUUAUUGUUAAAUUGUGUGAACAAUACUCAAAAGGAAAUUGGUAGGCAUUUCAAAAAGAAAUAGGGAGGAUAAGUUCUAUGAUGCUUACUGUCUGAUCGAUAUCAGCUUUCACAUUGUCUUCCAUAAAUGAAGAUGGUCCAACCACAGUGUUGGGCAUUGAAGCUCCAGAAUUACCAAUUAUGCAUGCAACUAGACACCUCCAUGCAAGUCCUCCAGCCUGAGAGCAAGUUCCUCGCUAUGAGGCAACUGUAGAACACAAGUUACCAAUUAAGUACAAAGAUACAGAAUGGUGAAAUGAAAAUCCGUGAUUUUGAAUUAAAAAAUGACUGCCUGUUCCUCCCAAAUUUCUCCCAAAUAUCUGUCGUCCCUUCAUGUAUAAAUCUUUCUCCACUGGUUUCCACUCAGAGUUGCUACACAUCCCUUCAACUUGUCCACGUGUAGAAUUGGACAUGUGAACAUGAACUAGGAUUUAAGUUGACAUUAAUUUAGAUUUUCUUCUACAUUUGGUAGUAAAUAAUGAUUUACUUUUGAUUUCACAGUGGUUCAAUAGUCUAGCUCAUACUUAAAUUGGUGCUUAGAUGACGUAUUUGAUCUUCGUAAUCCAAAGGUGUUGAAAGAGAACGAAAAAACAAGAGUCUUGUUUAGAUCUUUGGAAUCUAAAAUGGCACUUAUAUUGUAAUGUCUAUGGCUUUCUGCAGGAAUGUGUGAGGGGAGCGCUUACAAACAAGACGGUUUUACCUGUAACCCAUCAAGUUGACUUCUUGCAUAACGUUGAUCUUAUUUUGGUCAUGAGAGAUGGGAUGAUAGUAUAGGCAGGAAAGUAUAACGAUUUGCUAAAUUCUGGCCUGGAUUUCAAAGAGCUUGUUGCUGCCCACGAUACCUCCAUGGAACUUGUAGAAAUGAGCAUUGCUGAUCCCAGCAAAAGUUCCCCCGGACCUCAAAUAUCUCGGCAACUCUUUUCAAAACGUGGGGAAGCAAAUGGUGAAAACAACUCUUUGGACCAACCGAAGUCUGAUAAAGCAACUUCUAAGCUUAUUUAAGAAGAGGAGAAAGAAACCGGCAAAGUUAGCUUUCACAUUUUCAAAGUUUAUUGCACAGAUGCUUACGGAUGGUGGGGUGUGGUGGUAGUGUUGUCAUUGACUCUGAUGUGGCAAGCAUCUCAAAUGGCGGGUGAUUACUGGCUGUCUUAUGAAACUGCAGCAAAGCGUGCAGCAUCAUUCAAACCAUCUGUGUUUAUCAUCUUCUAUGGGCUUAUUGCAUGUGUCGCAUUUGUUGUGGUAUUUAUCAGAGCACUUGCUGUGAUGUUUGUGGGGCUUAAAACAGCUCAAACAUUUUUCAAGCAAAUUCUUCACAGCAUCCUGCAUGCCCCCAUGUCGUUUUUCAAUACUACACCAAUUCUGGAAGAAUUCUGAGAAGGGCAUCAACUGAUCAGACGAAUUUGGGAAUUACCAUUGCCAUGUUCUUUACUGUAUUCUUGCUGAUUCCGCUUGCUAGGCUUAAAGUCUGGGUUACUUUCUUGCAUCAUCUCAAGAGUUAACUCGACUCGAUUCAAUCACGAAAGCUCCUGUAAUCCAUCAUUUCUCAGAAAGCAUAUAAGGGGUCAUGAUGAUUCGCUCUUUCAGAAUGCAAAACAUGUUCUCCAAGGAAAACGUUAAACGAGUUAAUGCCAACUUGCAUAUGGAUUUCCACAACAAUGGGUCCAAUGAGUGGUUGGGUUUCCGAUUGGAGAUGCUUGGGAGUUUACCUUUCUGCAUUUCCACUAUGUUCAUGAUCUUGUUGCCAAGCAGUAUUAUAAAGCCAGAGAAUGUUGGUUUAACUGUCUCCUACGGACUGUCCCUUAAUGGUGUGCUGUUCUGGGGGCCAUAUAUUUUAGCUGCUUCGUUGAAAAUAGGAUGGUGUCGGUUGAGAGGAUAUAACAGUUCACAAACAUUCCUUCAGAAGCAGCAUGGAAGAUUGUAGGCUGUGUUCCUCCUCCAAAUUGGCCUUCCCGUGGCCACUUUGAGCUCAAAGACUUGCAGAUCAGUUUGUCUUCAAUUCUGUUUAUAACUUCCACGGUCUGAAUGGACGUUUUCAUUAGUUGGUCGUCACCGUUACUUUGUCUCAAGCUAAUAACGCAUGGCCAAAUUUGAACUUCGUCGGCAAAACUCUUGAUAAUCAAUGAAUGAAACUUAUUAUAGGAUGUCAUGAGUACAUGAUGCAUGUAGAAAAUUUGCAUUGCGACCAGAGUACGAGUGUUACACCACAUGUCAUUAUAUAAGUGAAAAUAAGUACAUUUUAGGAUUUAGGGGCUGUUGGUAUUGAAUAUUACAUCCGAUAUGAGAAUUAAAGAAAAAUAUUAGCUAGUGCGUAUGUGUAUAAUUGGCCCUUGUUUGUUCCUCAAGUAAUCAAGUGAGAUUAGUUUAGGCUUAAUGUUAGUUAAGUAGGAUCAAAUUUAAAUUGACAUGCAAUACGUGUAUGUGUGUGUAUAUAUAUAUACUCAAAACCAAAAAGAGUUUUUAGACUAAUAAGUGUCAAGUUUUUAUGGGCUGGGAAUACUAGCUCAACCCCGAAAAUUUUCUUCAGCUAGAGGGUUGUUGAUCGUGGGAGAAGCACAUAGAAUGACACCAACUGUUAUUUUUUUAGAAUUUUGAAUUUAUGACGACCUUUUCUUUGUCUUUACCGUAAUCAAGGUAAAAAAGUUGCUACUGUAAUAAGACAAAUCUACCUCUUUCACACGACAAACCUUCUUCGUGUAAACCCACUUUUGCAAUGCAUGAACAAGUUUAAAUGGCGGUUGCAAUUGUAAU